CAUGCAAGUCGAGGGGCAGCAUGAAGUUUGCUUGCAAACUUUGAUGGCGACCGGCGCACGGGUGAGUAACGCGUAUCCAACCUUCCCUAUAGUAGAGAAUAGCCCGGCGAAAGUCGGAUUAAUGCUCUAUGUUAUUCAAAGCGGACAUCUAAUUUGAAUCAAAGGUUCACCGCUAUAGGAUGGGGAUGCGUCUGAUUAGCUUGAUGGCGGGGUAACGGCCCACCAUGGCGACGAUCAGUAGGGGUUCCGAGAGGAAGGUCCCCCACAUUGGAACUGAGACACGGUCCAAACUCCUACGGGAGGCAGCAGUGAGGAAUAUUGGUCAAUGGGCGAGAGCCUGAGCCAGCCAAGUAGCGUGCAGGAUGACGGCCCUAUGGGUUGUAAACUGCUUUUAUGCGGGGAUAAAGUCGGCUACGCGUAGCCGUUUGUAGGUACCGCAUGAAUAAGGACCGGCUAAUUCCGUGCCAGCAGCCGCGGUAAUACGGAAGGUCCGGGCGUUAUCCGGAUUUAUUGGGUUUAAAGGGAGCGCAGGCCGGAGGUCAAGCGUGACGUGAAAUGUAGCCGCUCAACGGCUGAGUUGCGUCGCGAACUGGUUUCCUUGAGUGAGUACGACGUCAGCGGAAUUCGUGGUGUAGCGGUGAAAUGCUUAGAUAUCACGAAGAACCCCGAUUGCGAAGGCAGCUGACGAGUCCUUUACUGACGCUAAAGCUCGAAGGUGCGGGUAUCGAACAGGAUUAGAUACCCUGGUAGUCCGCACGGUAAACGAUGGAUGCCCGCUGUUUGCGAUAUAUUGUAAGCGGCCAAGCGAAAGCGUUAAGCAUCCCACCUGGGGAGUACGCCGGCAACGGUGAAACUCAAAGGAAUUGACGGGGGCCCGCACAAGCGGAGGAACAUGUGGUUUAAUUCGAUGAUACGCGAGGAACCUUACCCGGGCUUGAACUGCAGGAGAACGAUCCAGAGAUGGUGAGGCCCUUCGGGGCUCCUGUGGAGGUGCUGCAUGGUUGUCGUCAGCUCGUGCCGUGAGGUGUCGGCUUAAGUGCCAUAACGAGCGCAACCCCUUUCGCCAGUUGCCAUCAGGUGAUGCUGGGCACUC
rnacentral:rRNA from 1 species